CCUCAGGAAAGGAUUCUCAUCUUUACUGGGUUCAGUCCAGAUCUUUUACUACAACUAAGAAGUUUUCAAGCAACCCAUGAACUAUACAAGGAAUUUGCCUGUAAAAAAAGCUCGGAAACCACCUGUUGAAGCUCGAUAUGUACCUUCAAAACCUAAGAAGACAUCCAUGGCCAAUCGAAGGAAUGAGUCGAUUUAUGAGUUUGCCCAGCGUACUGCUUAACCAAUAUCCUAUCUGCAAGAUAUCCUGUCCAAUUUUAAACAUUGUCGAUUUAUGAGCUUCGUCCAAUUUUAAAGAGUCUAAAGACUCAGCUUGAUUCAGAAGACAUCUGCUCCAGACAGGGCAAAGAAAAAGAAGUAGGAUAGGCUUCACGAGAUAGAGCUAAGGGAAAAUUGAAGCUCGAGGAGGAAGGGGAAGGUGAGGAGUUUAGAAAGCCACAGAGACUUGUGUUGCUGAUAACAGCGAAGGUGAUGUUCAGGGAACUGUCCAAGCUGUUGCAGAUGCACCAAAGAAUCUGAACAGUGCUCAGGUUACUGUGGAUAUUGUCCAUGUUGGUGCUGGGGACAUUUCUCAAUCUGACGUGGAUUUGGCACAAGCUUAAGGUGCUUGUAUAGGUUCAGUAUGCCAGAACCACCUAAUUCUAUCACUGUCGCAGGUGCUCGAGCCCCAUAUAGAGACAAGGGCGCCCUAGGUACUUUCGAGACUCGUGUAGCUGGCGAGGUUGAGGUAUUAAAUAUUUUCAUGAUUAGAAGAGGCAAAACCAAGGGAGGAGAAGUGAAGAUCGCUGGUUGUAUGGUCUAGUCACAAAAUCAUCAACAUUUUGGCUGUUGAGAAGUGGAGAGGUAAUUCUCGAAGGCUCAUGAAAACAGGCCUGUUUUCAGCACAGCAGAAGAAAAGGGUUGUCUGCUAAAGUAAAUUCCCUCGGUAAUUAUAUUCUGAUCAUGAAGCUAGCCAUGGUAAUAGGAUGAAACCAAAGGGGAGACAAUCAGACACUGUCAUUUUUGAGAGAGAAUGGAGAUAAUUUAUGUCGAUCUAAAUUAUCUCCCAAUUUUUGGCUAUUUAAAAGUUUAAUUUUUUCAUCUAAUUUUUUCGUCCG